AAACUUGAUACCUGGCAGAGGAGAUACCAUGAUCACGAAGGUAGGUUUCCCAGGGCGAGGCUUAUCCAUUGCACUCCGGACGUGCUGACCCCUGCGAUUCCCCCAAAUGUGGGAAACUUGACCCUGUGCACAAC
rnacentral:snRNA from 1 species